rnacentral:rRNA from 1 species
CCCUUAGAUGUUCUGGGCCGCACGCGUGCUACACUGAUGCAUUCAACGAGUCUAAAACCUGGUCUGAUAGGGCUGGGUAAUCUUUUGAAAGUGCAUCGUGAUUGGGAUAGAUGAUUGCAAUUCUUCAUCUUCAACGAGGAAUGCCUAGUAAACGCAAGUCAUCAGCUUGCAUUGAUUACGUCCCUGCCCUUUGUACACACCGCCCGUCGCUCCUACCGAUUGAAUGAUCCGAUGAAUACCAUGGAUUGAGAGUACGAAUAGGUUCGCUUAUUUCUGCUUCUCGAGAAGUGGAUUAAAUCUUAUCAUUUAGAGGAAGGAGAAGUCGUAACA